GAGGUGAGUACGGACCCCCCACGCGAACACGGCGGCAGACCACCCCCCCCCCUUCUUGGUUCGUGUAAAUGAGCAGUGGGCCGCUGCAGCGCCCGGGCACCGGCUCCAGAGCUUCCUUCCAUUGCCUUGCUCAGAGGCACAGGCAGGAGCAUCAGCCCUGUGCACGCAUGUGUGUUUUUGAUGGUGGGAGGCACCCCGAGGGAAACCCACGCGGACACGGGGAGAACAUGCAGACUCCACAGAGACAGGACCUGGGAUGGGGCCGGGGUUCGAACCCACGACCUUCUUGCUAUGUGAUUCCUGGGCUGCAUGCAGACCACAUCGCCAUGCUCUCCGGACCACAAAGGGGCUUUCAAGCCACAGGCGUGGCCUGCGAUUUUAAUUUGAUUACAACGAGAUGAAUCUGAUGGACUGGCGGCCUGUCCAGGGUGUCUCCCCACCUGCCACCCAAUGACUGCUGGGAUAGGCUCCAGCAUCCCGCCACCCUACGCAGGAUAAGUGGCUUAGAUAAUGGAUUAAUGGAGAUGACACUUUGAUCCCCAUGGGGAGUUAAUUGGUGGCUGAGUACCAAGACUGCUGGAGCUCUGUGUUCGUCUGUGGUGAAAAGUUUGGUGUUACGAGACGACGUGCUAAGGGUGAUGGCAAACCUGCCUGGGAAGGGGAAUGAUUGGUGGACCUCAUCCAGUGACUACCCCUCGCAUCUUGGGAUGUCGUAUUUUGUGGAGACAGGAAACCACCACCCGCGGAGAUGAGCAUUGUGGUAGGGCUCAAUGCAGACUGGGCGGCAGGCAAAGGCAAGGACCGGGGCAUGCCAACUUCCAGCAUCGCAGACUGGUCCAGGAGGACCAACUGGGAGGAGACCCUGGGGUAGACCCAGAUCUCGCUGGAGGGACUACAUGUCCAUUCUGGCCUGGGAAUGCCUUGGGAUCCCCCAGGAGGAGCUGGAGGGACAUCUGGAGUGCCCUGGUUAGCUUGCUGCCACCGUGACCUGCCCUCAGAGAAGCAGCUGAUGAUGAGAUGACAUGAAUCAUCAGGGAUGGUUGUUCCCUCUUCACAUAGAUGGCCUCAUGACUCCCUGUUUACUGAACCUGGGAGGGGGGGGGGGGCUAAGAGUACAUCCGUCACCAUCUUACAAUGCUGUGAUUGCAACUAUUCCCAAAUCCUCUGAAUAGUACACAUGGCCAUUGUAACUCUAGUUAAUGGUCACGGCAGAAGCCGAUCGUUGGUUUGGGUCGUUAUGCCGCUGUAUUGUUUAUAAGGGUGGGGAUACCUGCAGUCAGUUGAGACUGAAGAGGUCACUUAGAUGAAUGAUGAAAUGUAUUUUCUCAAUAAACGUUGUGUCCAGAUGAACUGAUUCAGCUUUCUUUGAAUUUCUUACCUUGAUCAUUAAGGCAUCCAUUAUGAUUAUUUCAUGAUGAACCUGAAAUCUCAAAGGACUCAUUUGCACAUCCACAAA